AUGGAUUUGAACAUGAUGCCUCAAGAGGAAGACGAUGAAGGUAUUAAUUUGAAUUUGAUGCCUCAAGAGGAGGAACCUCAAGUGGCAGAGAAUGUAGCUAUGGAUUUGAACUUGAUGCCUCAAGAAGAAGAUGAUGAAGAUAUGAAUUGGAUGCCUCAAGAAGAUGAAGGGAAAGAGGAUGAAGCUCAAGAGGAAGAGGAUGAAGUUAUGAAUUGGAUACUUCAAGAGAAGAGAAGAGAAUUGUCAGAUAAGGAGAGGCAUGGUGUUUACUUCGCCUUGCUGGUAAUCGAGCUCAGAGAUGGGUCUGUUCAACCAGACGACAAGCUGCUAGUCUCAAACCUGUUGGACAUAAGUGUACGAUCUAUUGAAAGAAUCUGGGAAGACGCCAAAAAGCAAAUUGCCGAUGGCAAAGAAGUAGAUGUCUCAAGCAAGAAGCCGGGAAGAUCUGGCCGAAAGAGAAAGGAGCUAGAUCUAGAGAGGACUUCAACAAUCCCACUGAAUAAAAGAAAAACAAUUCGAUCUCUGGCACGGUCUCUAGGUGUGGCCCGAUCGACCCUACAUAAGAGGUUCCAGUUGAAUGAGCUCAACCGCAUCACAAGCACCGUGAAGCCUCACCUCAAGCUAGAGAACAAGCUUGCGAGAUUGAAAUUUUGUAUGUCCAUGGUCGAUGACAAUUCGAUCUCAACUUCUCGGGCUAUGUUCAAACCAAUGAUGAAUAUGGUUCACAUCGAUGAGAAGUGGUUUGACAUGACAAGAGUGAAGAAUAGUUACUAUGUACUUCCAGGAGAACCUGAACCAAAGUGCACUGUGUCAAACACUCGCAGCAUUGGGAAGGUAAUGUUCCUAACAGCUGUUGCCAGGCCUUGA
rnacentral:rRNA from 1 species